rnacentral:rRNA from 1 species
AGCAGUAGCCGCGGGAAUACGUAGGUGGCAAGCGUUGUCCGGAAUUAUGGGCGUAAAGCGCGCGCAGGUGGUUUAAUAAGUCUGAUGUGAAAGCCCACGGCUCAACCGUGGAGGGUCAUUGGAAACUGUUAAACUUGAGUGCAGGAGAGAAAAGUGGAAUUCCUAGUGUAGCGGUGAAAUGCGUAGAGAUGUGGAGGAACACCAGUGGCGAAGGCGGCUUUUUGGCCUGUAACUGACACUGAGGCGCGAAAGCGUGGGGAGCAAACAGGAUUAGAUACCCCUGUAGUCCCUGUCUCUUAUACA